rnacentral:lncRNA from 1 species
AAAAAAAAAAAAAAAGAAAAAAAGAUUCGGGUUUUUGAUCAAUAUACUUUGUGUAUUGAAAUUUAAAAUGCACAUUUUAGGGACUUUAAAAUAGAGAUUUGAGUUCUAGCUAGUUGUAAAUGGACAAUUUAAUAUGAUUUACAAAAAUUACCUAUCUUAGUGACGUGGAAGGGAACUCUAGUGCUAUCGUUACUAUUUUUUGAUUCGACGAUGAUUUUGAGGAAAAUUUACUCUGAAGAUGUUGAAGCUCUCUAGGACAUGGGAGGAUGAGCAUGCACAUUAGAAGGAGAGUGAGCCUGGCUUGUUUUUGCAGUUAGAAAUACAGAAAGGAACAUGUUUUAAUUAUGUUUUUUAAAGAAAGCUUGAUGAUGAAAAAUAUCUGAAGAUGUGUAUGCUUCUUGAUAUUCUGAUAUCCACGUAGAUGGCAUUUCUGUAGGAUGUAACUUUAUGUGGACAGAAAACAGCCUCAGGGGUCCUCAGAUGGGGUAAUUGCCAGCCAAAUCUAGGAGAUGCUAUGUGCUGUCACAAUUGUAGUAAAGAGGGGGAUACUGCUCCAGGCUCCCUUCAAUUUCGUGAUUUUUUUUCUUUUUCUUUAUUUUUAAAAAGUUUAAUUAAUUAAUUUACACUUUAGGGCUGCACCAUGGCAUAUGGAAGUUCCCAGGCUAAGGGUCAAAUUGGAGCUACAGCUGCCGGCCUGCACCACAGCCACAGCAAUGCAGGAUCCAAGCUGUGUCUUCGACCUACACCACAGCUCACGGCAGUGCUGGAGCCUUAACCCACUGAGUGAGGCCAAGGAUCAAACCCACAACCUCAUGGUCACUUGUCAGAUUCAUUUCCGCUGAGCCACUAGGGGAACUCCUUACAGUUUUAUUUAAGUAUGGUUGAUUUACAAUGUUGUGUCAACUUUGUCAUUUUAACAUGGUGAUUUUAAGGCCAAUAUGGACCUUACUGCUCUCUUGGUUGUUUGGUGGCUAAGUCUACUUGGUGAAGGCUUCCUUCUAGUUUUUUACCAGGCUCCUGGACUGCCAAAACCCCACCUAACUAGAUCUAUCUAUGAAGCUGGACACAUUUCUAAUAUGUAGGUCUUUUUUUUUUAAUAAUGAUUUUUAUUUUUUCCAUUAUAGGUGAUUUACAAUGUUCUGUCAAUUUUCUACUACACAGCAAGGUGACCCAGUCACACAUACAUGUAUGCAUUCUUUUGGACUUCCCAUGUGGCUCACAACAUGUAUGCAUUCUUUUUUCUCACAUUAUCAUGCUCCAUCACAAGUGACCAGACAUAGUUCCCAUGCCAUACAGCAGGAAGGCAUUGCUUAUCCAUUCCAAAGGCAAUAGUUUGCAUCUAUUAACCCCCAAUUCCCAGCCCCCUCACUUCCUCCCUCUCCCCCUCCCUCUUGGCAACCACAAGUCCGUUCUCCAUGUCCAUGGUUUUCUUUUCUGUGGAAAGGUUCAUUUGUGCCAUAUAUUAGAUUCCAGAUAUAAAUGAUAUCAUAUGGUAUUUGUCUUUCUCUCUGACUUUUCACUUAGUAUGAGAGUCUCUAGUUCCAUCCAUAUUGCUGCAGAUGGCAUUAUUUUGUUCUUUUUUGCAUCUGAGUAGUAUCCCAUUGUGUAUAUAUACCACAUCUUUUAAUCCAAUCAUCUGUGGAUGGACAUUUAGGUUGUUUCCAUGUCUUGGCUGGUGCACGUGUCUUUUUCAAGGAAAGUUUUGUCUGGAUAUAUGCCUAAGAGUGGGAUUGCUGGGUCAUAUGGUAGUCAUGUCAUUUCUCAUUUGAAAAUCAUUCCCAUCUGGUCUCCUGGUGAAGAUGCAAGUUUGUACAUGCUCUUUUGGAAAAGUGUUGCCAGUAUUUAUCAAUAAUUUAACCAAUAGAACUGUCUUGAGACUUGGCAGUUCUAUUUCUCAGCAUCCAUCUUCAAUAGUAGUCCUAAACAAGGGGCAUUGAAUAUAGAGAUGUUUAAUGCAGCAUUAUUUAAGAUAAAAAUUGGAAACAAACUUAAUAUACAUCUGCAUAGUUAAGUAGCCCCAUGUAUACCCAGUCAAUGAAAUAUUUUUCAGCAAUAAUUAUACCAUUUUAUUUUAUUUUUUGUUUUUUAGGGUCCCACCCAUGGCAUUUGGCAGUUCCCAGGCUAGGGGGUCAAAUUGGAGCUGCUGCUGUACUCCAUAGCCACAGCAACACAGGAUCUAAGCGAUGUCUGUGACCCUACACCACAGCUCACAUCAAUGCUGGAUCCUUAACCUGGAGCAAGGCCAGGGAGCAAACCCACAUCUCAUGGAUACUAGUCAGGUUUGUUACCACUCUAUUGUGUAGCGUAGGAAAGUGCUUAUGCAAUAAUGUUUAUUUAGUAAACAUCUUAAAAUAUAAGAUGUAUUAAAAUCCCCAAACAAAAAA